rnacentral:rRNA from 1 species
UACGUAGGGUGCAAGCGUUAAUCGGAAUUACUGGGCGUAAAGCGUGCGCAGGCGGUGAUGUAAGUCAGAUGUGAAAUCCCCGGGCUCAACCUGGGAACUGCAUUUGUGACUGCAUCGCUGGAGUGCGGCAGAGGGGGAUGGAAUUCCGCGUGUAGCAGUGAAAUGCGUAGAUAUGCGGAGGAACACCGAUGGCGAAGGCAAUCCCCUGGGCCUGCACUGACGCUCAGGCACGAAAGCGUGGGGAGCAAACAGG